UACGUAGGGGGCAAGAGUUGUCCGGAUUUAUUGGGCGUAAAGAGCGUGUAGGCGGUCUGGUAGGUCCGUUGUGAAAACUCGAGGCUCAACCUCGAGACGCCGAUGGAAACCCUCAGACUAGAGUCCGGAAGAGGAGAGUGGAAUUCCUGAUGUAGCGGUGAAAUGCGCAGAUAUCAGGAAGAACACCCGUGGCUAAGGCGGCUCUCUAGUACGUGACUGACGCUGAGACGCGAAAGCGUGGGGAGCGAACAGG
rnacentral:rRNA from 1 species